rnacentral:lncRNA from 1 species
ACUUCAACUUGGAUUUGAGUGAGGCCAUUUUACGUUGCCUCGUAACUGCACCCUCUCACAGUCCUCGCCCAACCUACCCUUAAUGGCCUGAGAAAUUCCUAUCAUGGGUCUUCCAGAUGUUUGUCUUUCUGAGAGAAAGCAAUGCUACCAUUUUUUAAAAAAUAUCUUUUAUUUCCAGCUUUUCUAUAAUUACCGAGGCCAGGCUCAACUGAAUAGGAGAUUUUGGCUUUGAUUCCAGAGUGAUGUUUCACAGAAAGUCAACUCUUGUUCCAGGUACUUGAUAAACAUCUCACUAAUUUCUGUUUCUAAGCAAUUAACAUUUUGGUUAGCAAACCCAGAGCCCUUCGGUUACCGUUUGCCUCCUACACAAGAAGCAAGCUAAUGAAGCCCACGGAGCGCUGCUAGCCCUCCAUUUCCCUUUAAUGGUUUCUGUCACCUGAGCCAAGCAGCUCCCGCCAUGACGCUGCACAUCCCUGCGCAGCCUCAGGGCAGGCGGCAGAAUGCAAAUGACGGGGGCCCUCAAACUGCACCUCACAGAGAGCUGUUCCGAGUUACUCUCUCC